GGAAUAUUGGACAAUGGGCGCAAGCCUGAUCCAGCCAUACCGCGUGGGUGAAGAAGGCCUUCGGGUUGUAAAGCCCUUUUGUUGGGAAAGAAAUCCAGCCGGCUAAUACCUGGUUGGGAUGACGGUACCCAAAGAAUAAGCACCGGCUAACUUCGUGCCAGCAGCCGCGGUAAUACGAAGGGUGCAAGCGUUACUCGGAAUUACUGGGCGUAAAGCGUGCGUAGGUGGUUAUUUAAGUCCGUUGUGAAAGCCCUGGGCUCAACCUGGGAACUGCAGUGGAUACUGGAUGACUAGAAUGUGGUAGAGGGUAGCGGAAUUCCUGGUGUAGCAGUGAAAUGCGUAGAGAUCAGGAGGAACAUCCAUGGCGAAGGCAGCUACCUGGACCAACAUUGACACUGAGGCACGAAAGCGUGGGGAGCAAACAGGAUUAGAUACCCUGGUAGUCCACGCCCUAAACGAUGCGAACUGGAUGUUGGGUGCAAUUUGGCACGCAGUAU
rnacentral:rRNA from 1 species